CCUUUGGAGAGUUAUAUCAAACGAAAGUAGCUUAGGCAAAAUCGGACUUGUAGAAGAAGGAA
ncrna:unclassified sequences RAGATH-18 RNA